rnacentral:lncRNA from 1 species
GCCUUCACAGGCUUCUGGGGGAAACUUGGAUGAAUUGCCACAUUCUACAUCCUUGUCUACCCCCCUGGGAGGAACAUUCCCAGAUCCUUCAAAGGACUCUUCACCUCUCGAAGGUGAACGGCAAUCUGUUUCUGAGCCCUUCGUAUCAGGAAGUGUGCCAGUUAUAGAGGACUUGUCACAAAGUCAUUCGCCGUCAAAGGCAGUUGUGGGAAACCAGGGUGCUUCGCCAAUUCAAGG